GAUAUAGAACCACAGUUGGUAUCAUGUAUGCCUCACAUGAGAAGGAGGUAUCUAGCACUUCUCGACCGGGGCCUAAAGCUUUAUGUUAAAAGCAAAAUUUUAUAGUGGAACUGUGAAGACUUGAGUAUUUUACAAAAAGGUUUUGAAAGAUCAUAUACUCUUUUUUCAAGGACUUCAUUGGAGAGGUUUUUGUCACUCUUGGAGUUAGAAUCAAAGAAACCUAAGGAACUUUGCUUUAUGCAUGUCUGGGCAAGUAGUGUGACUUGCAAGAAAUUUCCGAGAUUCACCUCAUUGCUGAUCAUGAAAUCCACUCUUUCGUUACGAGGUGUUCACUUCUGUUUUCACUUGCCAGGGACAGCCAAGAUAGAAACAGCUGUGACUUCGACCCCAUCUGCUUCUGGGCAGUUCAGCAAGCCUUUCUCAUUUUCUCCAUCAGGGGGCAACACCCUCCACUAAAGAGUCAAGCCAGCUGGAUGCAUUCUCAUUUGGUGGGGGAAGCAAACCUUCUUAUGAGGCCAUUCCUGAAAGCUCACCUCCCUCAGGAAUCACAUCCGCAUCAAACACCACCCCAGGAGAACCUGCCACAUCUAGCAGCAGACCUGUGGCACCUUCUGGAACUGCUCUUUCCACUACCUCUAGUAAGCUGGAAACCCCACCGUCCAAGCUGGGAGAGCUUCUGUUUCCAAGUUCUUUGGCUGGAGAGACUCUGGGAAGUUUUUCAGGACUGCGUGUUGGCCAAGCAGAUGAUUCUACAAAGCCAACCAAUAAGGCUUCAUCCACAAGCCUAACUAGUACCCAGCCAACCAAGACGUCAGGCGUGCCCUCAGGGUUUAAUUUUACUGCCCCCCCAGUGUUAGGGAAGCAAACGGAGCCCCCUGUGACCUCCUCUGCAACCACCACCUCAGUAGCACCACCAGCAGCCACCAGCACUUCCUCAACUGGCGUUUUUGGCAGUCUGCCGGUCACCAGUGCAGGAUCCUCUGGGGUCAUCAGUUUUGGUGGGACAUCUCUAAGUGGUGGCAAGACUAGUUUUUCAUUUGGAAGCCAACAGACCAAUAGCACAGU
rnacentral:sRNA from 1 species